rnacentral:antisense_RNA from 1 species
UCUUAUGGCGGGCCGGGCGGGGAAACCGAAAGGUUUGCCGGUGCCUCACCGGAUUUGCAGCCCCGUUUCGGUCUGCCACCAUU